UUCGCCCUUAGAGUUUGAUCCUGGCUCAGGACGAACGCUGGCGGCGCGCCUAACACAUGCAAGUCGAACGAGCGAGAGAGAGCUUGCUUUCUCGAGCGAGUGGCGAACGGGUGAGUAACGCGUGAGGAACCUGCCUCAAAGAGGGGGACAACAGUUGGAAACGACUGCUAAUACCGCAUAAGCCCACGGGUCGGCAUCGACCAGAGGGAAAAGGAGCAAUCCGCUUUGAGAUGGCCUCGCGUCCGAUUAGCUAGUUGGUGAGGUAACGGCCCACCAAGGCAACGAUCGGUAGCCGGACUGAGAGGUUGAACGGCCACAUUGGGACUGAGACACGGCCCAGACUCCUACGGGAGGCAGCAGUGGGGAAUAUUGCACAAUGGGGGAAACCCUGAUGCAGCGACGCCGCGUGGAGGAAGAAGGUCUUCGGAUUGUAAACUCCUGUUGUUGAGGAAGAUAAUGACGGUACUCAACAAGGAAGUGACGGCUAACUACGUGCCAGCAGCCGCGGUAAAACGUAGGUCACAAGCGUUGUCCGGAAUUACUGGGUGUAAAGGGAGCGCAGGCGGGAAGACAAGUUGGAAGUGAAAUCCAUGGGCUCAACCCAUGAACUGCUUUCAAAACUGUUUUUCUUGAGUAGUGCAGAGGUAGGCGGAAUUCCCGGUGUAGCGGUGGAAUGCGUAGAUAUCGGGAGGAACACCAGUGGCGAAGGCGGCCUACUGGGCACCAACUGACGCUGAGGCUCGAAAGUGUGGGUAGCAAACAGGAUUAGAUACCCUGGUAGUCCAUACCGUAAACGAUGAUUACUAGGUGUUGGAGGAUUGACCCCUUCAGUGCCGCAGUUAACACAAUAAGUAAUCCACCUGGGGAGUACGACCGCAAGGUUGAAACUCAAAGGAAUUGACGGGGGCCCGCACAAGCAGUGGAGUAUGUGGUUUAAUUCGACGCAACGCGAAGAACCUUACCAAGUCUUGACAUCCCUUGACGAUGCUGGAAACAGUAUUUCUCUUCGGAGCAAGGAGACAGGUGGUGCAUGGUUGUCGUCAGCUCGUGUCGUGAGAUGUUGGGUUAAGUCCCGCAACGAGCGCAACCCUUAUGGUCAGUUACUACGCAAGAGGACUCUGGCCAGACUGCCGUUGACAAAACGGAGGAAGGUGGGGAUGACGUCAAAUCAUCAUGCCCUUUAUGACUUGGGCUACACACGUACUACAAUGGCGUUAAACAAAGAGAAGCAAGACCGCGAGGUGGAGCAAAACUCAGAAACAACGUCCCAGUUCGGACUGCAGGCUGCAACUCGCCUGCACGAAGUCGGAAUUGCUAGUAAUCGUGGAUCAGCAUGCCACGGUGAAUACGUUCCCGGGCCUUGCACUCACCGCCCGUCA
rnacentral:rRNA from 1 species